UUGUAUGCAUGAAAACGAAGAACGAAGCGUGAAUCACAAAUACACCUAUGUAUCUGGGGAUGGGGUGCGAUUACCAAGGUCAUCUAAGCGCUUGGGACCCUCAGCUUUGAUCAAACGAAUAACAAUUUAUGGCAUUUUGGCAAUGUUGCUUGAGUGAGUCUGCCUAUUUCAUGUCCUACAAACAGUUUAUUUUGCAUCUUAGGCUUUUUCUCCUCUCGGCUCUGGUGGAUGGGUUUUAGCAUUGCGCAAAAGCCAGUGAGAGGGAGGUUUCACUCAAUGCACGCUGUUUUCAGAGCUGCCAGAUGCAUCUGUGAGAGAAUUCUCCACUGGGAGAACAUCUAGAAGGAGCAUCCAGAGUUAAGGGCCUAUUAGUCAACUCAAAAAGCUUGCUGGUGUGCCAGACCUGGUCAAGUUUGGUCCAAGCAUGAACACCCUGUGGCGGACAGAGGCAUGGCCUUAUCCACUGAAGCCUUCUCACAGGCCUACCGCACCCAGCUGUAUUGCCCAACGACAAAGCCACCUCUCGGGUUCAAGCUGGAUUAAGCUCCCAUUGUGUAGAUGCGUGUUGAAAGCAAGGCUCAUGACUUAGCCCUGCUCGGGACAGAUAGCAGAGGUUAUCCAGGUAGGCAUAAACCCUCCUGUCGACCUGGGGAGUGUGCAAGCUGCACUCAAUCAGCGUGCAGGCAUGUAGCAAUUCAGGAUAGCGAAGGAAGGGAAAAGCCUCCUGGAAUGCAGUCCGUGAGCAGGAGAAGGCAUAAUUAUAAUGUGCAUAACUAGCUUGUGUUUUUCCCUUAACAUGUGAAGUGGUUAGAUUUAAUCCUAUGGAUCACUGAGGAGAGUGCAGCGUCUAGGGAGAGCUUGAGCUGACUGGAGUUGUUAGAGCAUUUAUCAGAAGAUUUUUGGUUUUAAAAUGCAAAAAUUGUGAAAUGCUUCUGUUGCUUGGAGCUCACGGUUGAGAAAACAAAGGUUGUUGCUGGGGUGAAGUGUGUAGCUCUCCUUCAGUGAGUCAGGUUGUUGAUGUGUGCGUAGAUUAUUGAACAGGGCCUCUCCGAUGAUCUGCCGUAGUAUGUUUGGCUACGUAAGUACCCUUCAGUGAGACCAGUCCUACUUGUUCCAAGCUGCCUGUGACCGAGGAAGCUGGACAGCGUUUGGGGCUGUGGAGAGUGGUUUAAUAUAGGAAAUGUGUAUGAUGGAUACGUCUUCAAGACCUACAAGCACCUUAUGUAAAAAGUAUGAUUGUUCUUAUGUAGCCACUUCGGAAAGGUAGAGGUGGGCUUUUAUGGCGGUAUAGUGGCAGGAGUCGUGAAGGGAUCGCCUAAUGUAGGAAGCAACAGUUUACUUGCUCUUUCAGUCUGUGUUUUCUCGACACCCGUGCUUUGCCAGCUUUUAACUGCACGAGCAUGCAUAGCACCAGCCAGCAGUCCAGGCCUUGCAUGGGGCUGGUGGCCUGCCUUGCUUCAUAGCGUUGUGCACUCGGGAAGGCUGAAUGAAAAGUGAUUAGCAUGCCCCUCGGGCUCACCAGAGCCUGUGAUCAAAGGCUUCUUGCUGGCAGUCACUGAUGGUGAAUAUCAUGCAUUAUCGUUUUGUCUGAUCACUUCCUAAUCUUGGCACUAGCUGUUCUCGCAGUUCCUCUUCUGGAUGGCAAGGAGCUGAGGUACAGGGAGGGCCAAGGAAGGAAGAGAAACAAAGCAGGAGCUGGUCUCUUGGCCUUGAGUUCCAGAGUAGCGUCCUGAAUGCUGACUAUCCUCCUAGGAGCAAUGCAAGACCUGUGUUGCUAAGGGAAAGAAAGAUCACGUUCUGCACAACACGUCAUUUUUCGUUCUGCUCACCUCUGUUUUGCUGUAUUUCGUUGAUCUGCUCUGGCAGAUACCAGGUCUCUCUUUAAAACUGUGUCUUUGCAUGCACAAUUAUGCCCACAGGUAAUAGGAAACCAGGGUUUCAAAAGAAAACCUGAUCCCAUUGCUAGAUAAUAACAGUUUCCUAAAUAAAUGUGUGGUUGCCCCAGGGGCUGAGGUUGUUGCCAGAUGCACCUUUUUUUGAUUGGUGAGAGCAGCAGAUGACGCUUCGUGGCAUAUAAGUGCAAGAGAAAACACAGGAGCACAGAUAAGCAGAGCAAGUGAGCCACCUGGAAAGAAGAGUUGAGAAGGUGUUAAAGCAGCUGCUUGCCAUGGCAUUUGGAAUGCUAAUCUAUAUUUUGCUGAAAGUAAGCAUCUGUUUGCAUUACACAGCAAUGGGGGCACUGAGUGAAGAGUCAGCUAUUACUGUUUCAUCCCUCAGCACAGACUUAUGGAAUAAUUGGACAAAAAACAACACAGAAGUAGACUACACAGAGCAGCCAAAGCUCUUGAAGCUUAUGCAGACGUGUCUUGAAGAACAUCACAGCUAUUGUAUCAAUGGGCUCUGUGCUUUCCACAACGAACUGAGGAAACCCAUAUGCAAGUGCCUUGCAGGUUAUAAUGGAGAGAGGUGUGAACAUUUAACACUAAAUUCGUAUGCACAUAAUUCUUACGAACGCUACAUUGCUGUGGGAAUUGGUGUAGGAAUACUGACAAGUGGGAUACUUGCUAUCAUCUACUGCUACGUAAGAAAGAGAUGCAGGAAAUUGAAAUCACCCUACAAAGUCUGCAUGGGCGAGACAGCGUUGUGAAGGUCUGGCAUUGGGACACUUACCAAUUUGCCUGUAAAGGAGAGGAAGUUGUGCUGGGAAGGCCACCCCGCGCCAUCUGGCAGCAUGGAUUGGGGCCGUAGCAUCAGGAAAAGGAGUUGGGGAGGCAGCCAACGCUACUCCAGCUCACCAUCCACAGAGGAGGCCGUCUGUGAGAAGGGCAGGAGAUGGGAGCAUGGAAGACACAGUAACAAGUCUCCGCCUCCGCAUGUGCAUUUGGGCUUGCAACAGACUUUCAGGCACUAUUGAGCCGAGACAUUUGUGUAUAUCUGCCUACCUGGUAAGGGAAAGGUCUUAUUCUCAACAGACGAAAACAACGCAGAUCCAUCCCCGCAACAGCGAUGCAUAAAGCUGGAUGCAAGUCCUACAGAAAGCAGCUAAACAGCAGUAGACAAACUAAUAAACAAAGCUCAGUCCAUACCCUCGAAGUAAUCACUGCUGGGAAUCUGCUGCUUUGUCCGAAAAGAAGUGAAUCCUUGUGACAGUGGAGGAAGAUGGAGCACAAUGUGGGCUGGAGUUAAGCCAUGUACUUUAUUAAGCCAUUGCAAGGCAAUAGAAGCAAGUCUUUUGCGUAAGUUCUUAGGGUAUUUCCGCAUAUACUUGUUAGACUUUGUAAGGAAGAAAACCUGAAAUGUCAAAGCGUUCUGGGGGCUACUCGCUGCUCUGAUCCCAAGUGGCGUAAAUCCAUCACUGACUUGACUUGGGUGUGCCAGUUCACCCCAGCUGAAAUUGAGGCCACUAGCUGAAAGGCACCCGUGAUGUUCUGUUGCCCAAUCAGUGCUACCUCUCAGCAUUGUACAGACAUGUCGCUCCAUGCUCGGAUCUGUGGGAUGCAAUGAAUCUGCCUUACAACGAACCUAUCGGUGCAGGAAGGCACUACUCGGUGUGAGUAGCUUCUUGGAAGAUUGGCUCUUAAGGUGUGUGUCAACCUUGCUCAAAGAGGCGGCCUCCACAUGGAGGAGAGGAUGGUGAAAGCUGUAAGCGGGGACGCCAGACGUGGAAUCACAUGCCGUGAGACAAAGAACAUUACGGAAAGAUGAAACAAAGAUAUGUGUGUGAUACUUGUUUUCCAUAUAUUCAAAUGUGAAAGAGGAAAUUCCAAUGAAUUGCUCCAAUUGUGUCAGCGUUACUUGGUAUCUGGGUACCGGUACAAGACUAUAAUUAAAUGCUCUCUUUCAGAGGAUAAAUCAUGCAGGAAUUUAAGGGUGAAAUUAAUUAUAAAGUGGAAGUUCUGCAGUGAUGCUGCUUUUUAAGGCAUCUGUAUGCCCACACACAGAAAUGCUUUACUAAUCAUUGCAAUUCCUUCCUUUACUCAUUAUGAUCCCUAAAAGAGCAGACAAUAAAAUCCUUAAUAAGGGGGGUCAGCCCAAAUUAAAGAAGGAACAAAACAGUCAUGUGACAUCAAAAAAAGCUACCAUCUGCUAAUCUCAAAGUGGUAUGCUGAUUGUAUGGGGAUGAGCCAUGAGCCUAAUGCUAGAGAAGGGAAAAAGGGGACUUGGAAAAAGAUUCUGGCUGUAUCUUGCUCCACUCAUGGAGGACGAACUUCUGAACGCUACUUUCACGCUGAUCUUUGUUACAUUUAUCUGGCCAGCUCUCACACCAUUUAGAUAAUUAAUAUAUGGUGCUGGCAUACAAUUCUACAGUAACACGUUGCCUUUUUUCAUUUCAGCACCUCCACACUUCUGUAGACCUAAGAAAACACUCCCAAAAAAAAGCAGUAUGAUUAGUAUGUACCGGAUACAUUCCAGCUCCUUGAAUUAAUGUGUUUAUAACUUGUAAUUGCAAUCUGAACAUGUAGAUGUAGUAUAUCAUAUUCUGCAGUAUCUUCUACAAUUAACAGUCUUGUAUCAAGAACCGCUUAUAUAAUGGAGAAACUAUGGAUACUUGAGUCACCAGCUAUUUAACUGCACCUUGCUGUCAAUACUCAAAUUCCUUACGCUAUGAGAUAGGCUUAUCAGUUCUGCAGUAAAUUGGGUAUCACCUUGCCUUUUUUGACGCUGGAGAAGCGGUAAGGCGGAGAAAGAAGUUUUUUGAUUUAAAAGGAAAAGAAAUAAUCACCGUUGCUGAGCAGCUUGUGUAGAUAAAACACAUUUUCUAUUUCAGGCAAAUGCAUACAGAAGGGAUUUGGGGGUGGGGUAUCCCUCAGCUGUUCGAUGAUGGGAUGGAGGCACGGAACGUGGCCUGGCCUAAGACAGCAGUGAAGCGUGUGGACUUCAACAAGAUGCUUGAAAGGAAUUUUUUUAAAAAGUAGCAGUAACUAGUCAACUGCUGUCUAACUGAAAGAUUUGUUGCUACCAGUAGCAGCCUGUCCUCCGGGCUG